GACAGAGGAUGCAAGCGUUAUCCGGAAUGAUUGGGCGUAAGCGUCUGUAGGUGGCUUUUUAAGUCCGCCGUCAAAUCCCAGGGCUCAACCCGUGGACAGGCGGUGGAAACUACCAAGCUGGAGUACGGUAGGGGCAGGAGGGAAUUUCCGGGUGGAGCGGUGAAAUGCGUAGAGAUCGGAAAGAACACCAACGGCGAAAGCACUCUGCUGGGCCGACACUGACACUGAGAGACGAAAGCUAGGGGAGCGAAUGGG
rnacentral:rRNA from 1 species